rnacentral:misc_RNA from 1 species
GCAAAGUAAGCAUUAUUAUAAUAUCUGAAAAACCCAAAAACCAGAAACCCAUCAGCCAAUAGCCUUUGAUUAAAGAUUGCUAUGUGAAUUCAUUUUCAUACUCUGAAAUGGAAAUGAAAAGAAAUGGCAGAUAAAUCAGCAAAGCGGAAUUGAGAGUACCCUGUUGCAGUCAAUAAACAUAGCCAAGUAGGAUAAGGUAAAUUUUUUUUUUU